rnacentral:rRNA from 1 species
UACGUAGGGACCAAGCGUUGUUCGGAUUUACUGGGCGUAAAGGGCGCGUAGGCGGCGCGGUAAGUCACUUGUGAAAUCUCCGGGCUUAACUCGGAACGGCCAAUCGAUACUGACGUGCUAGAGUGCAGAAAGGGCAAUCGGAAUUCUUGGUGUAGCGGUGAAAUGCGUAGAUAUCAAGAGGAACACCUGAGGCGAAGGCGGGUUGCUAGGCUGACACUGACGCUGAGUGCGCGAAAGCCAGGGGAGCAAACGGG